rnacentral:rRNA from 1 species
UACGUAGGGGGCGAGCGUUGUCCGGAUUUAUUGGGCGUAAAGAGCGUGUAGGCGGCCAGGUAGGUCUGCUGUGAAAACUCGAGGCUCAACCUCGAGACGUCGGCGGAAACCAUCUGGCUAGAGUCCGGAAGAGGAGAGUGGAAUUCCUGGUGUAGCGGUGAAAUGCGCAGAUAUCAGGAAGAACACCUAUGGCGAAGGCAGCUCUCUGGGACGGUACUGACGCUGAGACGCGGAAGCGUGGGGAGCGAACAGG